CAUACAAACAUUUUUUUUAUAACGUAUACAAGACCAUUGCACAUAAGUUAAUUGGAAGUUAAGUAAUCUGGAGCAAAAUAAAGCAGUUUUGAAUUGGAUAAAAAAUGGGAAUAUAACUAUGGACUUUUACGAUCUCGAAGGGACGAAGUUAUACUACCAUUUCUGGGGCUGGUAAAUAGGAGCAGUGGCGGAUCUAGGAAAGCAGUUUUGAAUUGGAUAAAAAAUGGGAAUAUAACUAUGGACUUUUACGAUCUCGAAGGGACGAAGGUGCUGUUUCGUUUGUCGUUUGAGGGACUGCUUGAGACCAUUUGACGAGUUCAUGUGUGUUCUUUUAUUAGUAUAGAAUAAUGUUUGAUCUGUUUUUAAUAACCAUCGUAUUGUUAUA